rnacentral:rRNA from 1 species
UGGGGAAUUUUGCGCAAUGGGCGAAAGCCUGACGCAGCAACGCCGCGUGAGUGAUGAAGGCCUUCGGGUCGUAAAGCUCUGUCAGGGGGAAAGAACCACCAGGAAGCUAAUACCUUCUUGGUCUGACGGUACCCUCAAAGGAAGCACCGGCUAACUCCGUGCCAGCAGCCGCGGUAAUACGGAGGGUGCGAGCGUUGUUCGGAAUUAUUGGGCGUAAAGCGCGUGUAGGCGGUCUGUUUAGUCUGGUGUGAAAGCCCUGGGCUCAACCCGGGAAGUGCAUUGGAUACUGGCAGACUUGAGUACGGGAGAGGAUAGUGGAAUUCCGAGUGUAGGGGUGAAAUCCGUAGAUAUUCGGAGGAACACCGGUGGCGAAGGCGGCUAUCUGGACCGAUACUGACGCUGAGACGCGAAAGCGUGGGGAGCAAACA